UUUUAGACAACAUUUGGAUAUAUGAUCAGUUCAGAAGGGGGAGUUGCAGGAGAUAAAACACUAAUCUUCAGUGUUCAUCUAUGGGUUCCUUGCUAAGCACUCAUAUUUGCUAAUGGUGUCUGGGGAAAAAAAAAAAAAAAGGAAAGAAAAAACACCACUAACAACAAUAUAAACACCCAAAACAUAAAUAUUCAAUGCCCAGAGACCCUAGCUGAGUAACAAAUUUGGAUUUGGUUGCAUUUUCAGAUGUUGUGUGCCAGGCUAUGUCACACUGGGGGCCUUCUGUAUCACUGGACUUUGUGUUCUGUCUACUUUUUAUUCUGGUAAUGUGUAAACUAUAGUGUCUCUCCUCUUAUGUGUUUUAGCUGCCAUUUGGAGAGCGCACUCAGAACUGCUUGGAAAUAGCACUGGGAGGAGAGAGUUCUGUGCAGCAGCGAGACAUUCGGGAUGUCCAGAAACAUUUCCUGUAGUGCUGAUUAAUUCCAAGAGCACGAGGAUGCAAUGAAUGUGUGGGCGUGUACCUGAGAAGCAAGCUUCUUACUGACUUGUGGUCUGCACUGAGAUCCUACAAGAAAUAACAUGUCGUUGCCUGUGGCCUACAGUAAUAUCUGAACAGUAGGAGACUGAAUAGCAUCUGCAUUGCUUU
rnacentral:lncRNA from 1 species